UACGUAGGGCGCAGGCGUUAUCCGGAAUUAUUGGGCGUAAAGAGCUCGUAGGCGGUUUGUCGCGUCUGCCGUGAAAGUCCGGGGCUCAACUCCGGAUCUGCGGUGGGUACGGGCAGACUAGAGUGAUGUAGGGGAGACUGGAAUUCCUGGUGUAGCGGUGAAAUGCGCAGAUAUCAGGAGGAACACCGGUGGCGAAGGCGGGUCUCUGGGCAGUAACUGACGCUGAGGAGCGAAAGCGUGGGGAGCGAACAGG
rnacentral:rRNA from 1 species